rnacentral:rRNA from 1 species
GUGGGGAAUUUUGGACAAUGGGCGCAAGCCUGAUCCAGCAAUGCCGCGUGCAGGAAGAAGGCCUUCGGGUUGUAAACUGCUUUUGUACGGAACGAAACGGUCCGGGUUAAUACCCUGGGCUAAUGACGGUACCGUAAGAAUAAGCACCGGCUAACUACGUGCCAGCAGCCGCGGUAAUACGUAGGGUGCAAGCGUUAAUCGGACUUACUGGGCGUAAAGCGUGCGCAGGCGGCUUUGUAAGACCGGCGUGAAAUCCCCGGGCUCAACCUGGGCAUUGCGCUUGGGACUGCAGUGCUGGAGUGCGGCAGAGGGGGAUGGAAUUCCGCGUGUAGCAGUGAAAUGCGUAGAUAUGCGGAGGAACACCGAUGGCGAAGGCAAUCCCCUGGGCCUGCACUGACGCUCAUGCACGAAAGCGUGGGGAGCAAACAGGAUUAGAUACCCGAGUAGUCC